GGGCCGUUAGUACAGUGGUAAUACAGUCGCUUCGCAUGCGAUAGACGGGAGUUCGAUUCUCCCACGGUCCA
rnacentral:tRNA from 1 species